rnacentral:tRNA from 1 species
UUAUAAAGUAAGCUAAAUAAGCUUAUGGGUUCAUACCCCAUCUAUGAUUUAUCCUUUAUUAA